UUUGUGAUUCAUGACUGGGGUGAAGUCGUAACAAGGUAACCGUAGGGGAACCUGCGGUUGGAUCACCUCCUUACCAAGAAGAU
rnacentral:rRNA from 2 species